GAGUUUGAUCAUGGUUCAGGAUGAACGCUAGCUACAGGCUUAACACAUGCAAGUCGAGGGGCAGCAUUGGAGUAGCAAUACUUCAGAUGGCGACCGGCGCACGGGUGAGUAACACGUAUCCAACCUGCCGCUUACUCGGGGAUAGCCUUUCGAAAGAAAGAUUAAUACCCGAUGGUAUAAAGAGUUCGCAUGUUCUCUUUAUUAAAGAAUUUCGGUAAGCGAUGGGGAUGCGUUCCAUUAGAUUGUUGGCGGGGUAACGGCCCACCAAGUCUACGAUGGAUAGGGGUUCUGAGAGGAAGGUCCCCCACAUUGGAACUGAGACACGGUCCAAACUCCUACGGGAGGCAGCAGUGAGGAAUAUUGGUCAAUGGACGCGAGUCUGAACCAGCCAAGUAGCGUGAAGGAUGACUGCCCUAUGGGUUGUAAACUUCUUUUAUAAGGGAAUAAAGUGAGGGACGUGUCCCUUUUUGUAUGUCCCUUAUGAAUAAGGAUCGGCUAACUCCGUGCCAGCAGCCGCGGUAAUAC
rnacentral:rRNA from 1 species